GGGGUUGUGGCUUAGUGGUAGAGCGCUCACCUCAAAUGUGCGAGGCCCUGGGUUCAAUCCUUAGCACCA
rnacentral:tRNA from 1 species